GCAUGGCUGGGAGAUGAGGAGAGUUCGAGUACUGGAUUCUCAACCAGGGGAUAUUCACCACCACUAUCUCCCACCUUUCCUCCCUUGUUGCUUGGUUAGUGUGGAUCCCAACAUUUAAGGACACUGGAUGGACUCAUCGCCUAAAUUUAGCCACCUCUCAGGUAAAUGAGAAGCAAGUUUAUGACCAAUAUUAGCCACCUGGUACCAGGCUACAUCAUUGGUUGGACUCUUGAAAAGAAAGCUUAUUGGUAGAUGAAGCUGAAAAGAUGCGAGGGUGGGAACUGCUGUGGUUACCUAGCAAACAUAACAUGACAUUCUGUGGAGAACAGCGGCAUCUUUGAGAACCAACAAGAAGUUGAAAAGGGGGAGCAUGUGCUGACACAGACGUGUACCUCUCCAGUGAUC
rnacentral:lncRNA from 1 species